GUGGGGAAUUUUCCGCAAUGGGCGAAAGCCUGACGGAGCAAUGCCGCGUGGAGGUGGAAGGCCUACGGGUCGUCAACUUCUUUUCUCGGAGAAGAAACAAUGACGGUAUCUGAGGAAUAAGCAUCGGCUAACUCUGUGCCAA
rnacentral:rRNA from 1 species